UGGGGAAUUUUGGACAAUGGGCGCAAGCCUGAUCCAGCAAUGCCGCGUGCAGGAUGAAGGCCUUCGGGUUGUAAACUGCUUUUGUACGGAACGAAAAGGCUCUGGUUAAUACCUGGGGCUCAUGACGGUACCGUAAGAAUAAGCACCGGCUAACUACGUGCCAGCAGCCGCGGUAAUACGUAGGGUGCAAGCGUUAAUCGGAAUUACUGGGCGUAAAGCGUGCGCAGGCGGUUAUGUAAGCCAGAUGUGAAAUCCCCGGGCUCAACCUGGGACCUGCAUUUGUGACUGCAUAGCUAGAGGACGGUAGAGGGGGAGGGAAUUCCGCGGGUAGCAGUGAAAGGCGUAGAUAUGCGGAGGAACACCGAGGGCGAAGGAAAUCCCCGGGACCUGUACGGACGUGAAGGCACGAAAGCGGGGGUAGCAAA
rnacentral:rRNA from 1 species